rnacentral:snRNA from 1 species
GUGUUCACUUCGGCAGCACAUGCACUAAAAUUGGAUACAGAGAAGGUUAGCAUGGCCCCUGCACAACGAUGACAUGCAAAUCCAUGAAGGAUUCCAUUAAAAA